rnacentral:rRNA from 1 species
GACGAACGAUGGCGGAGGGAGGAACACAUGCAAGUCGAACGAUGAAGCCCAGCUUGCUGGGGGGAUUAGAGUCGCGAGCGGGAGUAACACGCGAGUAACACGCCCUCGACACUGGGAUAAGCCUGGGGAACACGGGCUAAUACUGGAUAUGACUUCUCAUCGCAUGUGGGGGGGUGGAGAGAUUUAUGGGUGUUGGCUGGACUCGCGCCCUAUAGGCUUGUUGUUGGGGUGUUGCCUCACCAAGGCGACGAGGGGUAGCCGGCCUGAGAGGGUGACCGGCCACACUGGGACUGAGACACGGCCAGGACUCCUACGGGAGCCAGCGGUGGGGAAUUUUGCACAAUGGGCGCAAGCCUGAUGCAGCGCCGCGGCGUGGGGGAUAACGCCCUUCGGGUGGUAACCCUUUUUCAGUAGGGAAGAAGGGAGGGUGCCGUUACCUGUAGAGGAGCCGCCGCCUACCUCGGUC